rnacentral:lncRNA from 1 species
GGGCACAGGAGUGGCUUUCUCUCCUUAAUGACAGAGAAGCUGAGAGUGUGGCAGUUUUCAUCUGUUUGGGCAGUGUUGCCCAAACAUUUCCUUUGGUGUUCCUGCCUGUGAAUUCUACUUCUGAACAAAGGAGUUCUCCCUGUACAAGUCAGUCCUCCAUCUUUUAGAUCAGCACUGGUUCUGGCAACUAAGGUCAUCUGAGCCUUGUCUAGACCUGUGCCUUUAAAAUAAACAAACUCCAAGAAGAAAAUCAAUACCUUAGGUGGAAGAAUUCAUGCAUUUCAGAGCUUCAGUGAUAAACUCUCGUUUUCAAGAGAGGAGCUUCUGCCAACAGAGAGAGAAUAUGUAAAUCUUGUUUUAAGAAACAGUUUUGACCUGGGUGAUAGAACUAAAAGGAAGAAUUCUUUCCUCUGCAAAAGACUAAGAACACAUGAGGAAGGAACCAUGGCUAUGGGAUAGCUUUAUAACUGUGACCACUGUGGCCCUUGCUGAUUGCUGCAAGCAGACCAGGCAUCCAUUCAGUUCUUCCAGGGGACUGGUGAGUUGGAAGUAGAGAAUGAUUCUUAAUUGUGUUAAUUUUAUGGGCUAAUAACACU